GGAAGUAAAAGUCGUAACAAGGUUUCCGUAGGUGAACCUGCGGAAGGAUCAUUACCGAGUUAGGGUUCCUCUCACGGGCCCGACCUCCCAACCCUGUGUCUACCACACCUUGUCGUUGCUUCGGCGGACCGGUUCGACUCCCCCUGACUCCCAGGGGGGUUCGUGACCGCCGGGGGUGUUUUGCACCCCGGGAGAGCGUCCGCCGAUGGCCCAACCACAACUCUUUGUCCCCAAACCGGUCGUCUAAAGAAUACGUUUGAUAAUAAUCAAAACACAAAACUUUCAACAACGGAUCUCUUGGUUCUGGCAUCGAUGAAGAACGCAGCGAAAUGCGAUAAGUAAUGCGAAUUGCAGAAUUUCCGUGAGUCAUCGAAUCUUUGAACGCACAUUGCGCCCAUUGGUAUUCCGAUGGGCAUGCCUGUUCGAGCGUCAUUAUCCUCCCUCAAACCCCUGUUUGGUUUGGUGUUGGACUCUGGGGGGUGUGUUGACCCCCCUGGUCUCAAAGACAAUGACGGCGUCCGUGGGACCCUCGGUGCAACGAGUUUUUUUUCAAAAGCACGCGUCGAGUUCCUGUCCCGGCGGGCCGGUCGAACCUAUAUCUUUCUCAGGUUGACCUCGGAUCAGGUAGGAAUACCCGCUGAACUUAAGCAUAUCAAUAAGCGGAGGA
rnacentral:rRNA from 1 species